UUCGCAUUCCCUUAAGAGAAUGUAAUAGCAAUAUGUGAUAAGUCUGAAAGAGGACAAAAUUAUUACCGUGAAGGUAUCAAUGGAUGUGGACGUGGCAAUAGACGGAAUUAUAAUCGUCAUCAUUGUGAUAAUGAGAAUAAUAAAGAUUCUUAAAUGGAUGUGGACGUGGCAAUAUACGAAGUUAUAAUCGUCAUCAUUGUGAUACUGAUAAUAAUAAGGAUUCUCAAAUAAUCAUUCACUAUGUAAAAGUAAUAUUUGUUAUC
rnacentral:lncRNA from 1 species